rnacentral:lncRNA from 1 species
CGGGCUCUUUUAAUUACGUGACAGUUUCGCGCCCAAAACAACAUUGCGUGUCGGAUUCCGCGGUGCUUUCAUAUUAGCGUGAAACUUUAGGAUAUCAAGAAACCGUGCGGCUGCAUUUAUCAGUUUUGUGUUCUGCGGUGCCCCCUCCUGUCCGCGUACACUUCAGCAAGGCUUUCGGCGGCAAUGGCAAGGCAAUGGCUUCUACGGUAGAAGUCUACGGUAGCAGUUCUACCUGGCACUUCCCACGCUUCAUGAUAGGUACAUAUGCACGGGCUGGGAGAAAAGAAUGAGAAGCAGAACCAAAAUCUUACUUUGCCACCAAUGCAGCUGAUGAGGAGUGACAGAAAGGAAUACCUAGGAACUAAGCUGUGAGUGCCACCCAUCUGCAUCGGUGUCUCCCAGUCAUCCAGC